CAUUCCGAGGCAGCAGUAGGGAAUAUUGGACAAUGGGCGCAAGCCUGAUCCAGCCAUGCCGCGUGAGUGAUGAAGGCCUUAGGGUUGUAAAGCUCUUUCGCCAGGGACGAUAAUGACGGUACCUGGAUAAGAAGCCCCGGCUAACUUCGUGCCAGCAGCCGCGGUAAU
rnacentral:rRNA from 1 species